ACUCCCAACAGCAGAAAGGGUCUUUCUCUCCUUUUCGCUGCCGGUAAGUGCAUCUCGAACUGACAGUCCAGAAAGGGAACAGACAUUGUAUGGGGCAUUCAUGAAUGACUCGUUACAGGGCUCUGCAAAAUCACAUAGCCUCAUCCAGGCAUUCUUCCUUAGGGAAAAUCCUGAACUGGCUGCUCACGAGGUGCCUCUGUGGUACGGGUGAUUAACCUCAUCCAUGAGUUGGUGAUGGACGAAAGAGUGGUCAGCUUGGGAGAAACUUUCUUAAAUUCCUUCGUAGGCAUGGACUCAGAGAGAGGCUGAUAGUUCCUUGAUCAGAUCUCUCUGCAGCCGAGUAAAAUGAGCCAGGUAGUUCAAUGACCUCAGCACAAAGGUGGCUGAGAUGUACACAUGCUUCCCAAUCCUGUCCAGUGCUCUAGACUCCCUGUUAGGCGGAGUGACAUUGUCAGUUUCUUCUGCCAGCUCUUUCUUAGUGGCUGCCACCACCAUGAUGGCAUCAAGUACGGGACUCUUACUCCAAUGUUUUCUAUCUGUGAGGGGUACCAGAAACCUACUGGGUCAUUUGGGUAUGGUCUUAAUGGUGUCUGGUUCCUUCCAUGCCCGGCGGGACACUAAGUCAACCAAGGGGUAGAUGGGCCAAUCCUGAAUGCCUCUAAGAGAAUUGACUCUUCAGGGGAAAGAGGUUGGACAGACCACCCACCUUUCUGCUUCGGGAUCCCUAAUAUAUCCCCAAAGGAGACUUCUUCAGGUGGGGAUCGAAGUCAGUAUCCUCCGUUAAAGACUCCAAUGGGGAGUCAACAUGCCUCCUUUUGCAAGUCAUUUUCUGAGGAACUUCCUCAGCUAGGUACUCUGGAGAAGUGUUGGAAGAAGGAGAUCCCUUCUGAGCAGGGAAUUCCUGAAGGCUGCUUGAGACAGGAAGAGUCGAGGCAGGAUAAGUAGGAGCAAGGCUGGGAUCUGACAAGGGUACUGGGGCAGACUGGUUAACAUGCCGUUGGAUCUCCAACUCAAGGGAAAACCCUCUCCACUAUCUGAAAGGCUGAAGGACCAGGGGAAGCCCUUUCUGUCUCCUCAAAGCUGAAACCACAGAGUGAAAACAAGCAGGACUCACCCCGGAUCCAUGGCUUCCAGAAGGGAUCACACCCGAACUGUCCAAAGGGAAGGGAUAGCUCCGAGAAGGAUGGCGCUGACCCCAGUCCCCCUCACCUAGCACUGAAACCAUGGCCAAGUGACUCACUCUGCUCAGAAAAGGCUGGAACCGGGCUAGUCAAGGGUAUCCUCAGUGUUGAAGAAGGAAGCUUCCCCUGCGCCAAGCCCAAUGUACACAGGGGUCCCGAAUCCUGUGACUCGAAAUAGAGGGUUGGAUCAGAGAAGGUGUCCUGAUGGAAUGGCCAGGGUAGCUCAAGGAUUGGACAGGGGACCGAGCUGAGACUACCCCUAUCUGGAUCCAGGCCUUGAGAAAUAUUCUCAUCAUCCUGUCCACAUCUGCCUCACACCAGCUUCUGGAGGACCUGGAGAAGCUGAGGAGUGGGACCAAGAAUACUUCAACCUGGAAGAGAGUGCAGGAGACCUCGUCAAAGUCCUUGGAUCUGGAGGUAUUGGAUCCGAUGUAGGAGCUGACGAUCCCCUGGAUCCACAGUAGCUGUAGGAUCUGACCGGGGUGGUAAAGUUCUUCAGGUCCAAAGAAUUAGGAUCCAAGGAUUUUUUAGGCUUCUUAGCUUCAAGAAUGUUUCUUGGGGAAACAGGGAGGGGCCUCUUUUUAGACUCUUUAGAAGUAGCAGCAGAGGAGGAAGAAGAAGCCUUCAAAGCCGAGGAGGCAAGAAGGCCCCUAAGAAUCAGUUUAUUUCUACAGUGAGCUAAAGCCCACAGACUGAAGGCAGCACAAAUGUUACAUUCCUCUUUCAAGUGGCCAGCACCCAGGCAGUACACACACCCCUUGUGGACAUCCUAGUUGGAGAUUUUAUGCCCACAAGAAGUGCAGCAUUUAAAGCCGGGUGAAGGUUUGUCAGCCAAACACACACACACACAUGCACAAUGAAUGAAAGAGAAAUGGAGGGAGGACUUGCAGAGUCCACCCAAGGAUAAAACAGCAAGAGAACUUUGAAAAACUCUAUCGAUAGCUUGAGAGCACAAGAUCCGCUUAUGGGACACUGAAGCAGCAAAUGAGAUCUGAGGUACCUGGAUGGAUGUAGUGCAUUAUGGGUAAGAGGGAAGAGCUUCAGAGUCUGAUACAAGUCUGUAGAAUGUGGCCGAGCCGGAUCUGAAGGUCAGAACAGAGACCCUAUUGAGAAGGGGAAUGAAGACAACAGAUCAGUUGUUCAGACUUUCAAAUGGGUUUGGUUUUGUUCAGACAGAAUCUUAGCUGUUUGCAGAAAUCUAGAGUGUAGAAGCCUUUUCCCUUGAUUCUGCCAAUUGGGAAAGAAACUUGUAAGGUUUAUGGCCUGACUGAGGGACAUCUCAUUCACUACUUGGGCAUGAAUGGUUAGCCCUCAGAGUUACUCUGUCUUUGAGAAAAAUAAGAAAGGGCGGAAACAACCACAAGUGCCUAUAACUCUGAAGCUCUGCUAGAUGAAGUGAGUGCAGGCUGGAGAAUAGAUCUCAGGUGCAGAACAUGAGGUUUCCUGAUGCUGCUGGUUCAAAAGGAGGUAGGCUAAGCUUUUCCAGCACAAAGUUGAGGUCACAAAGCAGGGUUAUUGGCUUGCCUCACCUCAGGUGUAGAUAUAAGUGUGAGGGUUGAGAGUUAAAAGGCAGAGAUGGCCAAAAAGGGCGCUAUGAUGGAAGAAUAGGCCAGACCUCUACGCAUGAUGACCUCAUACAGAUAUAUCAAUAUGGAGAGUACCUCUGAUCUGUUAUGGUCUUGUCCAUUCCUAUGGCACCAAACUUAAAAUCUCUUCCAUUUGGCUAUGUAGGAUUUUCUAGUUGUGGGUCUCCUGGCUUCUUGGAGAACCUAAAUCACAUCCAUAGAGAAAUGGCGCCUGUAAGGAAUUACAAUCCUAUCACUCACAUAGUUAGGCUUGAGGAAGACAUGUUGGGGUGUAGUAGAGACCCUUUCUGCAGUGUGGUGAGAUUGCUUGAAGUGGUAAGCUUACAGCAUUUGCCUCUGGCUAGAUGAAAAGAAACCAUUGCUGUCUUAUCCAGAAGGGGCUACCAGCACAUGUUUUUUUUUUUUCUUCUUGGGUUUUUAGAAGAACGUCUGGAAUGAGAGAUCACCGACGGAAGGCAUACAGGAAUUUUAUUGUCCACUGAAAGGAGGAAGCAUCCAUCCUCCAAGCUGAGGGACAAGGGUGCUUGUUUACGGUCCAUUUGUGAGGGUCCUCUAAGGUCCUGCUUAAUGUGUCCGCCAACACAUUGUUUUGUGAUGGAAUGUACGUGGCUAUGACAAAAAUGCUGUUCUGGCUGGCAAUAUCGCAGGCUCUCUGUACCAAACUACACAGUUGGUGUGAUCUGGUUCCCACUUGCUUGUUUAUAUACCACACGACAGUUGUGUUGUCUGUGAACACUUGUAAGGCACCUGGUUUCCAGACAUGAGAGAAAACUUGAAGAGCUUGGAUGAGGGCCCUCAUCUACUUCAAGUAUCAAGUAGAUGUGCUCCUUUAAUAAUUUUGGCUGCCACCUGCCCUGUACUCAGUAGCUCCCUGUCCGGGCUCCCCAUAACUUGUCCAAGGCAUCUGUGUACACAUCCUGAACUAGAACUGGAGGGCUAAAGGGAAGUCCUGGAUUGAGUGUCACUUGGUCCUUUCACCAUAUGAGUUCUCUUUUUAGGCAAGGUAAUACAUGCAUCACUCUGUCUAGAGAGUGAGAAUGUUGGAGCCACACAGUUUUCAGGUACCACUUGAGUUUUCUCAUAUGCUGUUUGGCUAAAGGAAGCUUUAUGAUUAACAGGUGCCAUGGAUCCCAUAGUCCUUAGGAUCUCUCCCUGGCUGAACAUUUGCUGUGGGAGGCAAGGCUGUGAAAGUACUUUGCCAGGCUCUGUGCUUUUUUCCUAGGUAGGUACACCUGCUUUUGUAUCCAGGCUGCAGAUCAGAAAAAAAGGGCCGAGUUGACUGUGAACUCCAACUAAGAGAGGAGGUUGAGGGUAAACUGGAGGUGCUGAAGAAGAAUCUGUGGUGAGACAGCAUGGAUAAACAGAACGGCUAAGUAGAGAAAAAUCUGAAUUCCCUGGAUUCGAAGAAGGCAAUCACAGGGUGCCAGACACUUUGCAAACUCUUGAGGUGGUGCAGAGCCAAAAAGGCAAAGCAGUAAACAGAAACUUAGAUGACACAGAACAAAACCUGAGGAAUCUCCUGCAAAGAAUAGUGAAAUUGGUAUACAGAUAUAGCCAUUUGUCAGAUCUAAAGAUGCCAGAAAUGUCUGAGGCAGUAUAAAAGGUAGCAGUGUGUGUAGUGAGAGCAUCUUAAAGGUUUGCACUUUUAGGAAAGUGUUUAGUAAGGAGGAAUCCAGCACGUGUUUCCACUACCCUUCUUUUGUGGCACUAGGAAGAGUAUGGAGUAAAACCCCUUCCCCACAAACUUUUUGGGCACUGGUUCUAUUGUGCCUUAGGUUUGUAGUUCUUGAAGAAAUGGGUGGAAACAGAUAGAUCUGGUUGUGGAGAGGGGAAGGUAAGCCACUUAUGGUGGUAUCUCUAUCCAGGAAAUGGCAUAGCCCUUUUUUAUGAUUGCAAGAAUCCAUUGGUCUGUGGCAGUCUUUUCCCAGGUGGCGAGAGAUUGGGUGAGCUUAUCUGAGAGAGGCAUGGCAGGGGAGAAAGAGUCUGUAGGUAGUCACAGAUCCCAGAGGAGGAAUACCACUGCAUUUUUUCAGGGAAUCUCUUUCUGGGGGGCAUUUCCUGUGUUUCUGACUAAUUCUAGGAUCCCUUCUGGCAAAGGAGGUGGGUUUGGUUGGAUAAAUCCUCUGGUACCUAGGUACAGAGGUUAGCAGAUGUCUACAGUCUUUCAUUUUUUUCCCUGUUCCUGAAGGGUUUUGUAAAGUUAGCUGUUUGUGGGCCAAACAAGAGAUUCUUGUCUACAGGAGAAUUGUCUAUAGGAGAAUCCACAAUUUUUGCUUUAAAGUCAUAGGGCAAGGGUUGGUUGAGCAACCAUACAUACCUGUGGAUGACAGAGCCAGUGGCAGCUGCCCUGGAAGAGGCUUCUACAGUAUCAUAACUACAUUUAAUGCUGUAUCUGGCUAGUUGGGUAACCUGACUAAGUAAGCAAGGCAUUUGGUGUUUAGGGUCAGCCCCCUGUGGAUCCACCACUACCUUAUGUAAGGAGUUGAGGAUAAAUAUCAAAUACUUGGUCAUCUGAGUUUGGUAAUUAAUAGCUCUGAAUGUCAGAGGAAGAAGAAACCAUUUUCCUCACCUAAUCACAUCAAUGCUGUCUUUGUCAGUAGGGAGGACAAUGCAUUAGGGAGAACAUUUGAAGGUGUAUCAGAAGAAAGACACUGCAGGGCGUCUGCUAAAGGGUUUUUAAACAAGAAUGUAAUAUCAUCAGGGGUCUUAUAAAACCUAUCUGGUCUUUUGGGGGCAGGAGGCUGUGAGUCUGGGGUACGUGAAGUGGAUUGAAAAGUGUCUAAGAAAUCCUCAUGAACUAGAGGAACUGGGAAGGGGACUCAAGUGCCAAUUUUCUGUGAUGUGCUUAGACUCCCACUCAAAAUGCUUUAUUAUAUUCAAAACUCUCCAAAAAGACAGUUCUUCCAUGACAAUGCCAGGUGAGAGUGAAUCUUCGUCAUCAGAAGAGACUUGGACAGGAGAAUGAAUCUGAGAGGAGUAGAUCAGGAAAUGGUCAUAAUAAGAAACCUUCUCAACUUCAGAGGAAGAUGAAAUCAUACCAAUCUUUUUGCAGGGGGAGUGUGAGGUGGGAAGAAAUGGAAGGGGGCUUCAGAACCUAAAUGCCCCUCAGCAGACCCUGAGAAAAGUCUACCCAUUCCUACUUAGUGUUUUGCAGUUUCUUUUUCACUAUGACAUCCGCGUAAACCACAAAUGGUGGUUCAGAUCCCCAGUGUACUUCAGAUUAGUUUACCUGGGUUCUCUUCCCUAAUGAGUAUCUAAGGGUUGCCCUCUGGACCUUCUAAGCUGAUAAUUUUCAGUUCAGCUUUCUCCUUGGAUUUCUCAGUUUUAAGACUCUCUGACACCAUACCUGCCUCCAGUGGGGUCAUGGUAGAGGGCAUCUGAGGUGGAGUGGGAUGUAAAGCGGGUUCUGAAACCUCAGUGGGCAUGUCAGAAUCAGAAUUGACUGAGUCUCCGGCUAAGGCUGUUCAAUAACUUUUUUCUUAGUAGGUGUAAGUAUGUCCAGGGAAGCUGGAUCCGACAUUUUGGAGUGGACCGAGCAUUUCAAACUUUGGGUCUCUAGAAAUGUGUCAAGUCAGUACAGCAAAGUCUUGGGUACAAAAGACUGACAAAUGGAUCAGGUAAAAAAGGGCAUGGGCAUGCAAGUCUUUGUACGGGACUUGACUACUCCGCUCGCAUUCACCCCUCUUAGAUGACAUCUAAUACCAGUAAAGCAAGACAGACAAAAGGUAAAGAAAGGGUCCCCAAUGGGGAACUUACCUGACAUUUCAAAGCAUAGGUACCAACGGCCAAAUGACAAUCAGUCAGAUGGAUAUACAACGUGUGCUCAGACUGGUAGCAAAAUAGUCAGAAGAAUUAUGCGUGUACACCUGCCUAUCCUGUGAAGGUAAAGCUUUGCUACUCCGGCCAGACAUUAUAGAUGACAACUCCUGGUUAAGAAUACUGUAACAGCGAUUUCAGUAAUGAUAUCAACAGGGAUCUUUGGGUGGCGGGGUACAUACUCUUUAGAUCCAAUGUAGGGAUGUAGCAGAGAAGCCUGACACUUUAAUUCUUCUACUAUUUUUGGUGACUGUUGCUUGAUGUAUGCAAAUGCCUGUAUCACCAAAAAGUCUGACAUUUUCCUACAAAAUUUCAGGAAAUUGUAUUAGCAUAAUUAACUAACAGCCUUAGAGUGGGCUCCUACCAGUACAGGCAAAAGAGAACCUGCAUCUUGCAUUUUAAUGGAAGUAUUAUUUUAAUGUUACAAAAUACAAAAAGAAGAAAAGUGCCAGUUUUACACAAAAAUAUGUAUUCUUUCUGGGUCUGAAGUCAUAACAUCAUAAGCACAAAUCAUAGACCUAUGUCUAAUGGAAACCAAAUGAUGUAAAAUGCUAGACUGUAAAAAAAUAAAAUACCUGUGAAGCCCCUACACUUGAUAUGUAUGCGUAAGAGGUCCUAUUCUCAGUGCUCCUUUCAAAGCCUUCAGUAAAUGUUAUUCAAAAUUUAAUCAGGAUACUGAUAAACAAAACACACCUAUGAGUGCACUCUGUCAUAAGUGGUUUCAGUGCAGCUAACUAUUAAAUAAGACUCCAGUAAACUGUUCUAUUCAGCACAUACGUUGUAGCUAAUGCCACCUCUGCAGUCACAAAAAUUUUUACACACACACACACACAUACAUAUGAUUUUUACUUCUGUAAUGGUAACACAAUAAAGACGUAUUCUGGACAUGGGUUACAAUUCCAUGUCUUGAGCAGAAGUCAUAUAGUCACACCCAAUGGAAACAGAAUAUAAUGCAACUUGACAGGCUGGCAAACUCUAAGGGUUAUAUAAAGCCAACUGGCUCAAAUGUAACACAGGGUUAUACCUUUGAAAUGUGUAAAAGGCCUUUUAGUAUUUUUUUCAACAAAUCUGGAUACUCAGGCUACUCACUUUACUUAUGCUGUGUUUUAGCUGCAGAGGUAAUGGACAGCUACAUGCUGAAUUUCUAAAUGCCCACUCAAUUCCCAGCAAUGCCUCCACUUUUUCUUGCUGGAAAAUAUCUGUUUUAUGGGCAUUAGAUCUAUUAUAAAAGCAAACUAUAUGUACGAUUUUACAUACUAUGCCUUCACCUACACAAGAAAAAAGGAAUAUGUGCAUUUCUAGAGGACUGAAUUUAUAGAAAUCCGCAUUUGGGAUGCUGUGACCAACAAGAAAUCUAAAGCAACAGCUUGUCUUAAAAAAAGUCAAACACCAGUUUCAGUUCUUUUCACACAUAAACUAUUCCCAGGAUAAUGUGCCCCCUUUGACACAGUAUAUCUCCUUUAACUAAACAGAACUGUCAAGAUAAUUUUUCAUACACAGAUUCCCCUAAUACACACAUACACCUCCUGAAAAGUUAGAUCAACAACUGCUUAACUCUGACCAAGUGAUAGCAGUAAUGCAUUCUCCCAAACUUCUCAAGUGUUCCUGAUUUCAGCUUAAGCAUUUAAACUAAUUUAAACUAUCCUUCUUAAAAUGUUUUUUUUUUUUUUUUUAGAAAAGAGGCUGAACUAAAAUAAAUAAAUAUCAUUAUAGCCAGAGGCAUAUUUUACUUCAGAAAAUGCAUGUUUAUUCACAUCUAAUUCUAUCAACUUUUUUCCAUCAACAACAUCAGCAUUUUAUGAGGUCUGUGAUUCUUGAGGUACACUUGUCCCUCCUGGAAUUCACAUACUUUAUGUGCACCUCUGAUAUCUGACUGGAAUGAAAGUGCAUGAAAAAAGCUGCAGUUCUGCACUUCAUGCUGCUGUUACCACAAACAUACACUGCCCCAAUAAAAGCUGUAUUGAUUAUCAUUUAACAGUGCUCACGUAAUUGCCCUUGUUUCAAACAAUGACUAUACCCUCAAAAAGUACUCGUCUUUUAUAACCUCUGAUUGUACAAGAAGUGAAAAAAAUAGCUACACAAAUCUAAUUCAAAUGGCUAUUAUCAAACACAAACACUGGCUUAGCUAUAGAAAUGAUCAUUUAACAAUGAUCAUAUAACCCACCUUGAUUUUCACAGUCUGCCCAAGUAUAGUUACACCCUCUGCACAGUGUUCAUGCCCAAUUGAUGUUCCAGCCUUUAACAGUACGUUCUAUGUAGUUCAGGAUUUGAUUCCCGCAUCCUCCAUUUGCUACUACACAACUCAGAGCAAGUCAAUUAACCAGGCAGAGCUCUGUAAUAAUUGCAAAACCGAGUUACACUCCUCAAUGCUCUCCUCAACUGCAUACCUUGUAACUACCAAUAAACCCAUGAUGAAAGUUAAAAUAAUAAUGACACACAGUAAUAUAUUUCAAUUUGCUGCUAUCAUACAUAAUCCCCCCAGCAUCGCAGCAAAUUAAAAACUGCAAAGUUCACUACAAUGAGCAGCGUGUGUUGCAAACAGCUGCCUGAAGAUAUAUCUGUUUUCCAGCCUGCAUUUAAUAAACACUUGGAAGAGAAGACUGCCCCUGAACAUUUGAAGCAUCUGUUUCUAUUGGUAUCUCCAAUCAAAUAACCAGACAUUGCCAAGUAAGGACUAAGACUGGCUGCUCUGAGCAACUGAUCUCAGCACUUACCUCACACAGCAACAUGAAAGAGAAUGUCUAAACAUGAUCUGUUACAAAGUAGUGGGGGGGAAUAAGAACUAUAUUUCAGUUUUCUUUCAUUCUAAUGAAACAAUUUAACAUCCUCUGAUGCCAAGACAAUGAGCUAAUUUUUACUUCAAACCAAUUUUUUACACUUGUAAAAUAAAAUGUAUUCAAUAUACAAGUUUGAGUUAUCUUGGCAUCCAUAAUUAUGGUCACGGAAAAGGAUGCUGAAAUACUUGUCACAAAGUACCUUGUGUUUUUUCUCAACAUCUGCUACAAUGUCAUCACUAGGAUGUCCAAACAAUAGAUCUUGAGUAAAUGAAGCAUCCAAAAAUCUAUCAUAAGCUCACUUGUCACCUCUUGCAAAAAAGUUAGCAGCGGUGAGACAGGGACUAAGAAAUCUAUAUCCAAAUGCUCAACCUGCUGUAGCAGGGGUUCCGCAAAGUAAGCUCAACAUGUUGCCCACAUGACAGUGAUAUAUUUUUAUUUACUGGGAAAAAAAGAAUGUAAGCUUAUCAUGCACAUAAUUCAGCAGCAACAGAGAAAUGUUUCUACCAAUACAUUAUGAGAUACUACUGAUGAAGAACUAUUUUAUCUGAAAGCUUUGUGCUUUAUAUUAAACUACUGAAUUCUAUAGUGCAUGCAGAGUCUGUGAAUUUGCUUCUGUUGCUUGGCUUUUAUUUCAUUGACUUUGCCUUGCCAUGAUUUUUGAUCCCUUUUUUGUGGAUACUACUAAAUAUAUACAGAGUUACACCUACAAGAAUGAUACAGUCUAUAAAUGGAAAAAUGUUACAUACAGUGUACAAUUACAUCUGGUCCAACAGGCCCAAAAAAUAAAACUUGUUGAAACCUUACUGAAGAAUUUAAGCAAUUACAAACUAUCACAACACAGGAUUAAACAAAAACAAAGGCCAGUUAGACUUGCAUAGUAAAUUUAAAGAAACCUUGAGUAUAUCUACUUAAAAUUUGUAGCUAACAGUAUAAAUCCUGAACCAGUUUUCUUAAGUCAUUUUACCAUUUGUAAAAAAAAUUAACAUUAAAGCCAUUUGUUGAGUCUUUUCCAAACAAUAAGCAUCACUGUAAAUAUGCACUUAAAAAUCAAAUCUAUCCAGUACUUGCUAUCAGGCAAAUUUUCUACUUGCAGUUAUUUGGUUCAUGUUAUUCUUAGUGUAAGGACAGGUGUCACUUUACAUCAAGCUGCUUUACAAAUAAAACAGAAAUGUCUUUGAUAACUAUUUUCCAUGUACAACCAAUGCGGACAACAACCAUCAAAAGAGUUGCCUUUCUUCAUUGUAACACUGUGCAAUGCUAUUACAUUUGAAUGGAGGUUUAAUCUUUCUUUUUGAAAACCAUAAACUGUGUACACCUACCAUAGGUACCAACUCUAUUAUCAGAUGCACUUACAGAGAAUUGUGAGUGCAAAACGUUUAUGAAAGACUAGGCCCCACGGUGUCCGAAAGACU